CCAAGGGCAGUGACAUUGUUGAAACAUUGAAAGAGGCUGUGACCAAUCCAAACUCUAACUUCAACUUAUCUUUGGAUCUGAACUCCAUCACUGUGAUAAGGACCUCAAGCACAGCCACAGAUGUCUCGACAAAUACAACAGCUACACCUGUUGCAACAUCAACAACAAAAGGAAUCACAACCACUACUUCCAUCUCAGUCGCUGUUCCUGUUACCACAGUACCUGGUUCUGCCAUCACAAUACCAACUGGAGAACCCGUCACUGUUCUUGUUACUGGUUAUACAACUACAACCCCAUCUGUGGCCACCUCAACUACUGUUUCAAGCACAGCACCAACAUUGGCUAUGACAACUACCAGCACAACUCCAACAACUACUUCUACUACUACGACAACAACUACCACAACGACUGCACAUCUUGCAGUGGUUACAUUACAAGUCACCAUACAAGAGGUUUUUGUACCAGCUUUGAGUAAUCCUCAAAGCACAGAAUUUCAAACACUUGCGGUAACCAUUACUUCAGUGUGUGACGUGAUCUAUCGAGCAAAAUAUGGGAUAUUUUUCAUCCGGACGAUUGUCAUUUCAUUCAUACCAGUGUUCCGUUCUCGUAUGGCAGCAGACACACAGGUGGAGCUGGAAGUGGUGUUCAAUGAGACCGCCAUUGCAACUAUCGCUAAUGCAACUAUGCCCAAGGACAUUGACAUUAAAGAUACACUGAAAGAGGCUGUGACCAAUCCAAACUCUACCUUCAACCUCUCUGUGGUUCCAAACUCCAUCACUAUUAUCAGGGUCCCAAAUACAUCCACAGGUGCCACCACAAUUACAACGGCUACUCCUGUCAUCACAACCGUUGUCACAGCUGCUCCAACCACUACAACUGCUGCUGCCACCACAACCUCUGUGGCCACAAAUACACUUACUACAGUGUCUGUGGAGUUCACGUCCAAAGGAGAAACAUUUAUCUCCGACCUAUCAACCUCAUCUUCUCAGGCCUUUCAAACUCGAGCAUCACUGAUUAAAACACAGCUUGAACCUUUCUAUCGAUCAGCUUUCGCCUCUUUCAACAGUUUGACAGUAAUAAAAUUCAGAAAUGGAUCAAUCAUUAACACCAUGAAUUUAGCAUUUAGCUCCUCCGCUGUGCCAAAUUCCAAGGAAAUUGGCACCGUUUUGAUAAAGGCUGCACAAAACAUCACAGCUUUCAACAUCAACCCCACGUCAGUUACUGUCAGCGGUGAAGUUGUGACCUCAAGUGGUAUAAGCAGCAAGACCAGUCUCUUCACUGCUUCCUGUCUGGUGGUGUUGUCGCUGCUGCUGUCAAGCUAGUCUCAGCAGCAAGCAGCAGUAUGAAAUAUCUUAACUUUGAAAAUGUAUUUACCUCAUGUCCCCCACUCCCAUCUAAUAUAAUGGCAACCUAUUUAAUCAGUAUUUGUUAACCUAAGUUGAUUCUCAUUAUAGUUAUAGUUAUUAUACUCAUUAUUCAAAUUGAAAUAAACCUAUUCUAAACAAUUGGAGCUUCUUACUGUGGUACAUUUACUUUGUCUUACUUUACAUUGAAAAGUUUAU
ensembl:lncRNA